GAUGAACGCUGGCGGCGUGCCUAAUACAUGCAAGUCGAGCGAAUGGAUUAAGAGCUUGCUCUUAUGAAGUUAGCGGCGGACGGGUGAGUAACACGUGGGUAACCUGCCCAUAAGACUGGGAUAACUCCGGGAAACCGGGGCUAAUACCGGAUAACAUUUUGAACCGCAUGGUUCGAAAUUGAAAGGCGGCUUCGGCUGUCACUUAUGGAUGGACCCGCGUCGCAUUAGCUAGUUGGUGAGGUAACGGCUCACCAAGGCAACGAUGCGUAGCCGAUCUGAGAGGGUGAUCGGCCACACUGGGACUGAGACACGUCCCAGACUCCUACGCGAGGCAGCAGUAGGGAAUCUUCCGCAAUGGACGAAAGUCUGACGGAGCAACGCCGCGUGAGUGAUGAAGGCUUUCGGGUCGUAAAACUCUGUUGUUAGGGAAGAACAAGUGCUAGUUGAAUAAGCUGGCACCUUGACGGUACCUAACCAGAAAGCCACGGCUAACUACGUGCCAGCCGCCGCGGUAA
rnacentral:rRNA from 1 species